ensembl:lncRNA
GUUUCUUUGUUAUCAUUUGAACUUUGGUCCCCAGUAUGACGACAUCGCAGCUCAUCGAGGAGAGCAGGACCUGAACUACCAAAGACUCCACGUCUACAAGAAUGAAUCAGAUUCUCUCUACUCCACGAUUCCUCCAUCUCAGCCCCGAGAACAACAUCAUAUCCACUACAAUCCUGAAUCAAAGAGGACUUGCAGACAGUCUCCAAGAAGAACCUCAGACAACAAAGAGCAGAUGAACCCUGAAAGUAUCUCAGCUCAGUCAGCACAGCAGGAUGAUCAUCACUACAGCAGACUGCACUUCAGUGAGAAGCACACAGCUGAUCUCUACUCCACCAUCGAGCCACUGCCUGCUCACUAAAGAAGAGUUCGUUACCAUGCAUACAGGAAGCAGUCCAUUCCGGUCCAGCGCGCCUCCCGCUCAACUCUGCCGUCACUAUAUAGACAAACAGAAAGGAAACACUGUCAUCAACAAUCGCCACCACCUGUGGCUCACCUGCCUCCCAGUAAAUAUAAAGAAACUGUGUAAGAAAGUAUGCAUCCUGUUUGUUGUGUUGUACAGCCCAC